rnacentral:tRNA from 1 species
GGGGUUGUGGCUCAGUGGUAGAUUACUUGCCUUGCAUGCAUGAAGCACUGAGUUUGAAUCUCAGCACCA